UAUACUUGUGCUGACGAAUAGUCGUCAGGAGAGGUUUAAAAAAUCAGCCUACGCAGCCUGGGCGGGUCAGGGCGGCGCUAGGCGGGUCUGGGCUGCGCUAGGCGGGUCUGGGCGGCGCUAGGCGGCGCUGGGUAGGUCUGGGUGCCAGGGCUGGUCUGGUUCGUUAGGGUUUAGGGUCUGGGUGCCAGGGUGGGCCUGUCGCAUUUUUUCCAGGCACACUUCUGCAGCCACUUUCUUUUUAGUCUAUUCUUUCACUUCAUUUUCUUCAAUGUUUAUUGAUGGGAUUCAAAAUUAAGGCAGCUCAUCUUUAGCAAGUUUAAACUUCCUUGGAAAUGGGGUCUGCAGAUUUUUGUUCCUUCUCUUCUUCCCUCUAUAAAUAAAAUUGGCUUUGCUUCUGCUGAGACACAGACAGAUUGUCCUCCUUCGAUUUUAAGUUGCUAUCUGAUAUCUUUAUUACGUUUUGUUUUGAUGAUGAGUUACUUAAGUUCAGUGUGUUGAAAGAGUGGGGUUGAUUUGCUGUGUUUUUCUCAUCAUAUGAUUGAUUUACUCAUCUGGGUUCUUAUUGUUAUAUACUGAUUGUGUCAACGUUUCGUCGUUUUAAGUUGUCUAAUAGUAUCACCUUAAUAGUUUUGUUGCAUAAUUCAGGAUUCGAAGAAUUAAUGGGUGAUGUCUAUAUUGAAAAUGAAAUAUCUGAAAUGCCUCUCGCAGCCUAUAAUGAUACUGUGUGGAACACGAAGUCUUCUUUUUGAUAGUCCGGGAUUCUACUCAUCAAUGGAUGACAUUUUCACCCGUCUAUUGACUGGCUAGUUUAUAAGUCGUCGAUUUAUUCAAUUUAUAGGAGUUGUUGCAGAAGCAAAAGACACCAUUGGGACAUCAGUGGAGUCAACAAAACGACAGUUUACAUACUCUGAGAUCAUUAAGAUCACGAACAACUUCAAGCGGAUUCUUGGAAAAGGUGGAUUUGGAAAUGUUUAUCAUGGCUACAUCGACGAUACUCAACUAGCUAUCAAGAUGCUUUCGCCAUCCUCAGUUCAAGGAUUUCAACAAUUUCUUG